CGGAGAAUGUUAUCACGGGAGACACACGGCGGGUGCUAACGUCCGUCGUGAAGAGGGAAACAACCCAGACCGCCAGCUAAGGUCCCAAAGUCAUGGUUAAGUGGGAAACGAUGUGGGAAGGCCCAGACAGCCAGGAUGUUGGCUUAGAAGCAGCCAUCAUUUAAAGAAAGCGUAAUAGCUCACUGGUCGAGUCGGCCUGCGCGGAAGAUGUAACGGGGCUAAACCAUGCACCGAAGCUGCGGCAGCGACGCUUAUGCGUUGUUGGGUAGGGGAGCGUUCUGUAAGCCUGUGAAGGUGUGCUGUGAGGUAUGCUGGAGGUAUCAGAAGUGCGAAUGCUGACAUAAGUAACGAUAAAGCGGGUGAAAAGCCCGCUCGCCGGAAGACCAAGGGUUCCUGUCCAACGUUAAUCGGGGCAGGGUGAGUCGACCCCUAAGGCGAGGCCGAAAGGCGUAGUCGAUGGGAAACAGGUUAAUAUUCCUGUACUUGGUGUUACUGCGAAGGGGGGACGGAGAAGGCUAUGUUGGCCGGGCGACGGUUGUCCCGGUUUAAGCGUGUAGGCUGGUUUUCCAGGCAAAUCCGGAAAAUCAAGGCCGAGGCGUGAUGACGAGGCACUACGGUGCUGAAGCAACAAAUGCCCUGCUUCCAGGAAAAGCCUCUAAGCAUCAGGUAACAUCAAAUCGUACCCCAAACCGACACAGGUGGUCAGGUAGAGAAUACCAAGGCGCUUGAGAGAACUCGGGUGAAGGAACUAGGCAAAAUGGUGCCGUAACUUCGGGAGAAGGCACGCUGAUACGUAGGUGAAGCGACUUGCUCGUGGAGCUGAAAUCAGUCGAAGAUACCAGCUGGCUGCAACUGUUUAUUAAAAACACAGCACUGUGCAAACACGAAAGUGGACGUAUACGGUGUGACGCCUGCCCGGUGCCGGAAGGUUAAUUGAUGGGGUUAGCGCAAGCGAAGCUCUUGAUCGAAGCCCCGGUAAACGGCGGCCGUAACUAUAACGGUCCUAAGGUAGCGAAAUUCCUUGUCGGGUAAGUUCCGACCUGCACGAAUGGCGUAAUGAUGGCCAGGCUGUCUCCACCCGAGACUCAGUGAAAUUGAACUCGCUGUGAAGAUGCAGUGUACCCGCGGCAAGACGGAAAGACCCCGUGAACCUUUACUAUAGCUUGACACUGAACAUUGAGCCUUGAUGUGUAGGAUAGGUGGGAGGCUUUGAAGUGUGGACGCCAGUCUGCAUGGAGCCGACCUUGAAAUACCACCCUUUAAUGUUUGAUGUUCUAACGUGGACCCGUGAUCCGGGUUGCGGACAGUGUCUGGUGGGUAGUUUGACUGGGGCGGUCUCCUCCUAAAGAGUAACGGAG
rnacentral:rRNA from 1 species